CCGCAAUGGGCGAAAGCCUGACGGAGCAACGCCGCGUGAGGGAUGAAGGCCUCUGGGCUGUAAACCUCUUUUAUCAAGGAAGAAGAUCUGACGGUACUUGAUGAAUAAGCCACGGCUAAUUCCGUGCCAGCAGCCGCGGUAAUACGGGAGUGGCAAGCGUUAUCCGGAAUUAUUGGGCGUAAAGCGUCCGCAGGCGGCCCUUCAAGUCUGCUGUUAAAAAGUGGAGCUUAACUCCAUCAUGGCAGUGGAAACUGUUGGGCUUGAGUGUGGUAGGGGCAGAGGGAAUUCCCGGUGUAGCGGUGAAAUGCGUAGAUAUCGGGAAGAACACCAGUGGCGAAGGCGCUCUGCUGGGCCAUCACUGACGCUCAUGGACGAAAGCCAGGGGAGCG
rnacentral:rRNA from 1 species